rnacentral:rRNA from 1 species
AGAGUUUGAUCCUGGCUCAGAACGAACGCUGGCGGCAUGCUUAACACAUGCAAGUCGAACGCAUGGUUUCGGCCAUGAGUGGCGCACGGGUGAGUAGCGCGUGGGAACCUGCCCUGUUGUGGGGGAUAACCGAGGGAAACUUCGGCUAAUACCGCAUGCGCCCGGCAGCGAUGUCGGGGAAAGAUUUAUCGCAGCAGGAG